UUCGUUUUGAGGGUUCUGAGGCUUUUCCAGAAGGUGCUGGAUCCGUCCCGAGGGUGCUGAGUGCCUUUCCGAAGGUGCUGAGCUCAUUCCAGAAGGUGCUGGAUUUGUUUUGAGGCAGCCCCAGGUGUGAGGUUGAUGAGGAGCGGGUGGGUCCUGCCCGGGGCUGUUUUAGGGGGAGGGUUUCCCUCAGUUCGCUUGGGCACGGAGCAGCUGGAGAAGAGGGGUUUAUGGUGGGCUCCCCGGGGGUGUCUCAUGGAACGAUACCGGGAGCAUCUUGUAGGGUCUGGGAGAGCAGCUGGAUGCACUUGGCUGUGGGUGCGGAGGAGCCUGGCGAGCCCGAGAUCCCGGCUCUCCCCUAGAGACAAGAUACUUCUCUGUAAGAGAGACACAAUGUAUCGCUGCCAGGGAUCUUUGCGUUAGAUAUGUUAAACUGCAGUGCCCCAUUGGUGUUCCCCCCUGCUGUCCCACCCCGAUACAGGUAUCUCGGGCUUCCCCCCGCCCCUCUCCUCUCCUAUAAAUAUCCCGGGUUUUCCCCUUUUCGGUAGUUUAGCUGUUGCUGGCACCCUUCAGCAAAGCUCUGCCUGAAUAAAGGUUUGUACUUAGCGAAACGCUGGACCAGCUUUCUCGUCCGUGCUUCCCGUGUCGUCUGCCCGCCACCGCUGAGCUGAAAUCACUCGAGACCGUCUGAAGCUGCUCACACGCGCUUCGGCCCAGUCCUUUUCAGGGCUGCCUCUAGAGAAGUCGCGGUGCUCCGGGCUUUCCGUCGCUGCGGCAACUGGACACGGAGCAUUGCUUCAAGGAGGUGCCGAGGGACAAACCUUUGUGUCUGGAAGCAGCAUCUGAGCAGGGUCAAAUACGAGUGGCAAAUCAACGUUGGCAUGGAUGUGCCGGAGGAGAGGAGUUUCUGGUGGGCUCCCAGUGGCAUCUGAUGGAGUGAUGGUGAGAGCAUCUCAUAGGGUCUGGGGGAGCACCUGGAUGCACUUGGAUGUGGAGCACCGCUUAAAGGAGAUGUCCCUCCCCGGUGCCCUCAAUCUGUCACAAGAAUUCCAAGGAAAAAAAAAAGGCUGAGGAAACAGUGAAAAGAAGGGGUAUAGGUAA